UACGGAGGGUGCAAGCGUUAUCCGGAUUCACUGGGUUUAAAGGGUGUGUAGGCGGGUAUUUAAGUCCGUGGUGAAAUCUCCGGGCUCAACCCGGAAACUGCCAUUGAUACUAUUUAUCUUGAAUUCUGUUGAGGUAGGCGGAAUAUAUCAUGUAGCGGUGAAAUGCUUAGAUAUGAUAUAGAACACCGAUUGCGAAGGCAGCUUACUAAACAGACAUUGACGCUGAGGCACGAAAGCGUGGGGAUCAAACAGG
rnacentral:rRNA from 1 species